rnacentral:rRNA from 1 species
GAUGAACGCUAGCGACAGGCCUAACACAUGCAAGUCGAGGGGCAGCACGGAAAUAGCAAUAUGACUGGUGGCGACCGGCGCACGGGUGAGUAACACGUAUGCAACCUACCUGUAAGCGGGGAAUAACCCGGAGAAAUUCGGACUAAUACCGCAUAAUACUGCGAUACUGCAUGGUAUUGCAUUUAAACAUUUAUGGCUUACAGAUGGGCAUGCGUAUGAUUAGAUAGUUGGUGAGGUAACGGCUCACCAAGUCAACGAUCAUUAGGGGUUCUGAGAGGAAGGUCCCCCACACUGGUACUGAGACACGGACCAGACUCCUACGGGAGGCAGCAGUGAGGAAUAUUGGUCAAUGGGCGAGAGCCUGAACCAGCCAAGUCGCGUGAAGGAGAAGGUUCUAUGGAUUGUAAACUUCUUUUGUAAGGGAAUAAAAAAGUGGUACGUGUACCAUAUUGUAAUGUACUUUACGAAUAAGGAUCGGCUAAC